rnacentral:rRNA from 1 species
CUCGUAGGCGGCUUCCUAAGUCAGUGGUGAAAACCUGUGGCUCAACCACAGGCCUGCCCCUGAAACUGGGAAGCUUGAGGCUGUGAGGGGAGAGGGGAAUUCCUGGUGUAUCGGUGAAAUGAGUUGAUAUCAGGAGGAACACCCGUGGCGAAGGCGCCUCUCUGGCACAGUACUGACGCUGAGGAGCGAAAGCGUGGGAGCAAACA